rnacentral:rRNA from 1 species
CCCGAGCGUUAAUCAGAAUCACUGGGCUUAAAGCGUGCGCAGGCGGAAACGUCAGUGUCUUUGUGAAAUCCCACGGCUCAACCGUGGAAUUGCAGGGCAUACUGCGUUUCUUGAGGUCGGUAGAGGUCGCCGGAACUCUAGGUGUAGCGGUGAAAUGCGUAGAUAUCUAGAGGAACGCCGAAGGUGAAGACAGGCGACUGGGCCGAUUCUGACGCUCAGGCACGAAAGCGUGGGGAGCAAACAGGAUUAGAUACCCUGGUAGUCCACGCCGUAAACGUUGUGCACUAGAUCCUGGAGGUACUGACACCGUCGGGGUCGAAGAUAACUUGCUAAGUGCACCGCCUGGGGAGUACGGUCGCAAGGCUAAAACUCAAAGGAAUUGACGGGGGCUCACACAAGCGGUGGAGCAUGUGGCUUAAUUCGAGGCAACGCGAAGAACCUUACCUGGGUUUGACAUGCUUGGAUUAGCCUGUCGAAAGACAGGUGACGCUAAUUCUAGUGGAACUUGCACAGGUGCUGCAUGGCUGUCGUCAGCUCGUGCUGUGAAGUGUCGGGUUAAGUCCCUUAACGAGCGAAACCCCUGCCGCUAGUUGCCAUCAGGUCAAGCUGAGCACUCUAGCGGGACUGCCGGUGUCAAACCGGAGGAAAGGUGGGGAUGACGUCAAGUCCUCAUGGCCUUUAUGCCCAGGGAUGCACACGUGCUACAAUGGUAGGUACAACGCGACGCGAUGCCGCGAGGCGGAGCAAAUCGCAAAAAACCUGCCCCAGUUCGGAUCGCAGUCUGCAACUCGACUGCGUGAAGUUGGAAUCGCUAGUAAUCGCGUAUCAGCUAUGACGCGGUGAUACGUUCCUGAGCCUUGUACACACCGCCCGUCAAGUCAUGGAAGCCGGGAGCACCCGAAGUCGCACCGCCUCAGGUGUGCCGACG